GUCCAAACUCUCAUUGCACCAAUUCAGUUGGGAGUUACAACUGUUCCUGCUUGACUGGAUUUACUGUGACAAAUAGCAGUGAACCAGUCAGCGCCAGUAACCCAUGCAAUGAUAUUAAUGAAUGUCUCAACUCAUCGUUGGCGUGUGGGCCGAAUGCUAACUGUUCCAAUUACGAUGGAAACUAUUCAUGCUCUUGUUGGGAAGGAUAUAACGCUACAAAGAUGAAUGAGACUAUAAAUAACAGUAACCCAUGCAUAGAUAUAAAUGAAUGUCAGUUCAUUCCAUCUGUAUGUGGUCCAAAUUCUGAAUGCACAAAUCAGUUGGGAAGUUACAAUUGCUCGUGUCUGGAUGGAUUCACUGCUACAAACUCAAGUCUCCCCAUCAGCGUCAAUAACACAU